rnacentral:rRNA from 1 species
UACAGAGGGGGCUAGCGUUAUUCGGAAUUAUUGGGCGUAAAGCGCACGUAGGCGGAUCGAUCAGUCAGGGGUGAAAUCCCAGAGCUCAACUCUGGAACUGCCUUUGAUACUGUCGGUCUAGAGUAUGGAAGAGGUGAGUGGAAUUCCGAGUGUAGAGGUGAAAUUCGUAGAUAUUCGGAGGAACACCAGUGGCGAAGGCGGCUCACUGGUCCAUUACUGACGCUGAGGUGCGAAAGCGUGGGGAGCGAACAGG